CCUACGGGGGGCUGCAGUGGGGAAUAUUGGACAAUGGGGGCAACCCUGAUCCAGCCAUGCCGCGUGUGUGAAGAAGGCCCUCGGGUUGUAAAGCACUUUCAGUGAGGAAGAACGCCUGGUGGUUAAUACCCAUCAGGAAAGACAUCACUCACAGAAGAAGCACCGGCUAACUCCGUGCCAGCAGCCGCGGUAAUACGGAGGGUGCGAGCGUUAAUCGGAAUUACUGGGCGUAAAGCGCGCGUAGGUGGCUUGAUAAGCCGGUUGUGAAAGCCCCGGGCUCAACCUGGGAACUGCAUCCGGAACUGUCAAGCUAGAGUGCAGGAGAGGAAGGUAGAAUUCCCGGUGUAGCGGUGAAAUGCGUAGAGAUCGGGAGGAAUACCAGUGGCGAAGGCGGCCUUCUGGACUGACACUGACACUGAGGUGCGAAAGCGUGGGUAGCAAACAGGAUUAGAUACCCUAGUAGUC
rnacentral:rRNA from 1 species